rnacentral:rRNA from 1 species
CAGCCGUAAACUAUGCGCGUUAGGUGUAUCGGUGACCACGAGUCACCGAGGUGCCGAAGGGAAACCGUGAAACGUGCCGCCUGGGAAGUACGGUCGCAAGGCUGAAACUUAAAGGAAUUGGCGGGGGAGCACAACAACGGGUGGAGCCUGCGGUUUAAUUGGACUCAACGCCGGACAACUCACCGGGACGACAGCAAUAUGUAGGCCAGGCUGAAGACCUUGCCUGAAUCGCUGAGAGGAGGUGCAUGGCGUAGAC